rnacentral:snRNA from 1 species
AUGCUUACCUGGCCAGCCCCGGGGGUGGGGGGUGAGGGUGGGGGGUGGGGGGUAGGGGUGGUUUUCCCACAGAGAGGCUCACCCUUUUGCAUUUGGGGUGUGCUGACCCCUGAGAUGUCCUCACACACAGGAAACUCGACUGUGUAAUUUGCGAUAGUGAGGGACUGUAUUAGCCCUCU